GUGCGCCAAGCCCUUGAGUAGCCUGUUUUUUAUUUGCAACCGCGGGAAAAAUCGAGGUGCAAAAAGAUGACGACGACACAAUUGUUUUGUUGGUAUUUUGCAACCUUAUUUGGACCUGAACUGGCGUGUGCUGGAGGAAUCCUUGUCCAUUACUUGGUUUGCUGCUGAGGUAUGUCCCUUUGUCCUCUAUGGCACUUUAGCUGAGGUUCGUUGCGCCCAACUGUAGACCAUGAAGACCUGUGUUUGCACUACAUAUUUUUUCGUCGUAAUCGUACCAUCAACUUGCUUGUCGUGCAUGAGUGGAUAGCAUAAUCGGACACUCUCGGCUUAUGCUCUAAGCGAAAGGCAGAUAUAUUUGGGUUUAGAUUCCCAAAGCACAUCCCAAUCAGGCUAUGCAAAAUGGAGCGGCCCACAAUUUCGUGAAGUCCCCUUGCUGUUGUGUCUUCGACAUCUAAACGGAAUUUCUAUAUGGUCUUGUGCGCUCGUCAUCAACAGCACUACACUACUGUAGGUCCAGUGGGCCAAUCAGGCUGAACGGCAUCAUCCAGCUGUAAUUGGGGUGUAGGAGUCGACACCUGCUGUUGCGCCGAGAGCUAGUACUCGCAUGAGCUCGCUGGAAUUGCUAUGUGCAUCCACAAAGUCCGAAAGAACAAGCUGGAAAGGGGUCUGGGAUCGUGCAACGGCGAGGGAAUUGUAUAAGCACAGAACUGUGUCACACCUGUACGGUACAGGAGCGUACCUCGUUUAUUACUGGUACCAUAUGACCCAUGGCUGAGAUGAGCGCCAAGCUUCGAAAUAAGGCUGGACAGUAGCCACCGGUUGUUGCAGUUGAUGGAUGGUAAAGAAGAGGUGAAGAAAUCAGCAGCCGUUGCCAGAAGAAGAGAACGGUUCUCGAGGAAUGCAAGACAGACGAAUCUUGCUGUUGCCAGCAAUGCGGACUCCUCGGGUGAGGUGCACUGGUGCAUUUCGUCUGUUCUACUCUGCAUCAGGCUCUCCAGCUUGAAGUCAGUAGUCUGACUGUCCACCAUAUCCAGUUGGCCUUUAUAACAGGCUAGGCAAAAAGCACUAUCCGCGGUGACCGUAAGACCACGCUCAGCGUGCAGCUGACGUUGAACAGCUCCGACGUUCGGACAUUUAAGCUUAAUUAACACCCCUUAUUUGUGCGCUGCACAUGGUGCAUGUGGGCCUGUUGCUGUCAUGGAGCUGCAUGUUAUGCCGGUUGCAGAGACCCGCUGGCUGAUCGUUUAAGUUUACUUUCACGUUAAGCUUCUCGGCCAGCUCUACUGCUUGUAAUGAAACUGUGACAUGCCGUGGCAAGUCACAACCAUCUCUGAGCAGUCUGGUGUUGUUGCGAGUACGGGUACAGGUGUUGGUGGUGCUGCUGCUGCUGCCGCAAGUGCAGGCAUUGCUUCUGUAGGCUGCACGUUGUCGGUGACAGGCAUUGGCUCUGCUGAAUGAUUUAUGAGCCUUUUCAUGCAUUUCUUGCAGAUACAUGCAUUUCGUGGUAUUGUAGGAUGAUGUGCA